UGUCCCUGUGAUAACAAUACAGAAGCCUAGCAUAACAUCAGGCGAAUAACAUAGUCACUUUUUGAAAGAAAAAUGGGGCACAGGGAAAUUUACUUAAGGAUUAAGUUAAGGAUAUUGAGAUGGGGAGAUUGUCCUGGAUUAUCUGGGUAGAACUGAUAUAAUCAUAAGUACCCUCAUAAGAAGGAUGCAGGAAGGAAAAGGUGAGAGAAGGAGAUAUGAUGAAGGAAGCAGAGGUUAGAGAAGGAUGUGAAGAUGCUGCACUGCUGACUUUGAAGAGGGAAGAAGGAGCUAUAAGCUAACAGCUGCUGGCAGCCUGUAGAAGCUGGAAAAGGUUGGGAAAGGCCCAAAUCACGGUGUCAGCUAGCUAGGAAGAAUCUGGUUCUAACCUCGUUGAGGAGAGUAUUGAAGAGGAUCAUGUUACCUGAACAAGUUUAUAGAUAUAGUCAAUUAUGCUGUGUGGCAUAUGUAUUCCUAAAAUGUACUGUGCUGUGCAAAAUCACACAAUGAAAGGCAUGAAUGUUAAGGUGGAGAUGAGGUUAAGUGUACAACAUUCAACAACUUCAUA